UGUAAACAUCCUACACUCAGCU
rnacentral:ncRNA from 57 species